CCCGGAGAACUGAAACAUCUAAGUAUCCGGAGGAGAAGAAAACAAAAAGUGAUUCCGUAAGUAGCGGCGAGCGAACGCGGAGUAGCCCAAACCCAAUUUGUUAAGGCAAAUUGGGGGUAAUAGGACCUCGAUAUUCAAUGCUUGCAGAACUAGAAACUACUGGAAAGUAGUACCACAGAGGGUGAUAGUCCCGUAUAGGUAAUAAGAGUUAUUGAUAGAGGUAUCCUGAGUAGUGCGGGGCACGUGAAACCUUGCAUGAAUUUGCCGGGACCAUCCGGUAAGGCUAAAUACUCCUGAGAGACCGAUAGUGAACCAGUACCGUGAGGGAAAGGUGAAAAGAACCCUGAAUAAGGGAGUGAAAUAGAACCUGAAACCAUGCGCUUACAAGCGGUCGGAGUCCCAAUUUAUUGGGAUGACGGCGUGCCUUUUGCAUAAUGAGCCUACGAGUUACCGUUGUUAGCAUGGUUAAUCCAUUUUGUGGAGAAUCCGCAGCGAAAGCGAGUCUGAAUAGGGCGACUAAGUUAGCAGUGGUAGACGCGAAACCGAGUGAUCUAUCCAUGAGCAGGUUGAAGCUGUGGUAACACAUAGUGGAGGACCGAACCCGUUGACGUUGAAAAGUCUUGGGAUGACUUGUGGAUAGGGGUGAAAGGCCAAUCAAACUCGGAAAUAGCUCG
rnacentral:rRNA from 1 species